AGCAAAGCUGACAAUGGCAUCUAACUGAGCUAUGACAUCAUUCAUGGUCUGUAUUGGCUCUGCAUAACCUGAAGCGAUGUUAAUUAUUUCCUUAACAAUUGCAUCCUGAGCCUCUUCAUACUCUUCUCUGUUCUUUAUGUACUCCUCAUUGAUGGCACUCAGCUUGCUGUUUGUAAACUUCACACCAUUCUUCUGUGUAUCAGUUAUCUUGUACUUCAUGUUGUUCCUGAGAACCUUUUCCUCCUUGCAAGUAAUUCGAAAGUGGUGUCCAAACUGUGAAUUUGACUCCAGUUUGAUACUUUUACCAGCUUCCAGACCAAGCUCUUUGGCUGCACUCUUCAAUAAGGUCUGCAUGCUUUCUUCCAGCUCAUUCAUCUUCUCUCGCAGUUCUGUCAGGUUGGGGUCGAAAGAAGCCUUAACCAGGAACUCAUGAUUCUCCAC
rnacentral:lncRNA from 1 species